GCAUGUCAAAUUGCCCAUAAAAUACAUGGUGGCCGGCCAAGGAGUGAUGAUGCUCCACUCAUUCUAAUUUAAUAUGUUUUCUUUUGGUUAACAAAUGAUGGGGAUAAUAAUAGGAAAGUGAACAAAAAAAAAUGGGUGUCAUACUUGCCAUCUCCUAGCCGAAAAACCAAGAAAAAGAAGGGGAGAAAAACUUGGAAAGAGUUCGGCCAUUGCUUGUAUCUAGGAGGAGUGUUUGAUGUUGUGGCAUGAAAAUGAGGGAGUUUGAAUGCUUAAUAAGGAGGGAAGAAGGAGUGUUCAUGUUUUCUUUCUUUUGCAAUUGUCGUAACUAGAGGAAGAAGAGGAAGCAAGAUUCGGCCAAGGUGGUCCUUUAGAUCAAGGUAUGUUCAAUGAUAUUUUUGGAAGUUUACACAACCUUUG
rnacentral:lncRNA from 1 species